rnacentral:rRNA from 1 species
UACGUAGGGUGCAAGCGUUGUCCGGAAUUAUUGGGCGUAAAGCGCGCGUAGGUGGUUUGUUAAGUUGGAUGUGAAAUCCCCGGGCUCAACCUGGGAACUGCAUUCAAAACUGACAAGCUAGAGUAUGGUAGAGGGUGGUGGAAUUUCCUGUGUAGCGGUGAAAUGCGUAGAGAUAGGAAGGAACAUCAGUGGCGAAGGCGACCACCUGGACUGAUACUGACACUGAGGUGCGAAAGCGUGGGGAGCAAACAGG